GAUGAACGCUGGCGGCGUGCCUAAUACAUGCAAGUCGAGCGAACAGACGAGGAGCUUGCUCCUCUGACGUUAGCGGCGGACGGGUGAGUAACACGUGGAUAACCUACCUAUAAGACUGGGAUAACUUCGGGAAACAGGAGCUAAUACCGGAUAAUAUAUUGAACCGCAUGGUUCAAUAGUGAAAGACGGUUUUGCUGUCACUUAUAGAUGGAUCCGCGCCGCAUUAGCUAGUUGGUAAGGUAACGGCUUACCAAGGCAACGAUGCGUAGCCGACCUGAGAGGGUGAUCGGCCACACUGGAACUGAGACACGGUCCAGACUCCUACGGGAGGCAGCAGUAGGGAAUCUUCCGCAAUGGGCGAAAGCCUGACGGAGCAACGCCGCGUGAGUGAUGAAGGUCUUCGGAUCGUAAAACUCUGUUAUUAGGGAAGAACAAAUGUGUAAGUAACUAUGCACGUCUUGACGGUACCUAAUCAGAAAGCCACGGCUAACUACGUG
rnacentral:rRNA from 1 species